GAUGGAGCGGAGGAUAGGAAGAACCCGGACCCGGUUGUUUACGCGCCAAUAAUUUAUGAAGUGACCAAAAUUCCCCUCAGGUUGUUGAUAAACCUCGCUAUUGCUUUUAUUACAUUUUAGAUUCGUUGUUUCGGCGGAAGCAAAUCCCCGUUCUUCACGCUCGACCCGAACAAAUUCAGCGCUUUCAUUGCAUUGCCGCAGGUAUAUUCUUGGGUUUUGCCCCAAUCUGAUUCAACUCCCUUCAUUUAAUUGAAUCCCUUGUUUAUCUUCCUCUCCUCUUCAAUUCUGCUCCGGAAUCCCACCGGUCCGCUGCCUUCUCAGCGCGAUCACUGGGGAUUCUGGAUUUCUGGUUAUUUUCUCCCAAUUGUACACCUCUUUUUCUUCUUAGGGUUGGGUCUGUUUUUAUUCGUGUAUAUAGCAUAUGAUUUUUGGGGACUGUGAGCCGGUGAGGUUUGUUUUUCACGAGUUAGGUUUUCAAUUUCUGGUUGCGGAGCAAUGGGCGAUCAUCUCGUUUUGUAUGUGGACCGGCUGAUUCGGCCGGUACCCGUUGAUCCGGUGCCCGACCCGAAUGAAAUUGUUCCUUUCUUAACGCCCGGAGAGGAUUUGGACGGCGACUCCGUGGCCUCGUCUUGUUCGACGUCCACUUCCAAUGUUGAUGGUGUGAGGAGAGAGGAGAAUGAGGCUUUGGAUGGAGAGAAUGAUUCACUGAUUCAGGUAGCAGAAUGUCGUAUUUGCCAGGAUGAGGAUACGAUUCAGAAGCUGGAAACACCAUGUGCCUGUAGUGGCAGUCUUAAGUAUGCUCAUCGGAAGUGUAUACAGCAAUGGUGCAAUGAGAAAGGGGAUAUAACUUGCGAAAUCUGCCAUCAGCCUUACCAACCUGAUUAUACAGCUCCACCACCUCCCCCUCGCAUUGAAGAAACUUCUAUUGAUAUUGGGGGAGGAUGGACCAUCACUGGCACCCCUUUGAAUUUACAGGAUCCUCGCCUUUUGGCUAUUGCAGAGGCUGAACGUAAUUUAUUGGAAGCCGAGUAUGACGAAUAUGCAGCUUCAGAUGCUAGUGGAGCUGCAUUUUGUCGAGCAGCUGCUCUUAUUCUCAUGAUCCUACUUUUCUUACGUCAUGCACUGGAAGUCACAGAUCCUGAUGGUGAUGAUUAUGUGUCUGCUUUCUUCUCUAUUUUCUUGCUCCGAGCGGCCGGUUUUCUCUUGCCUUGCUACAUUAUGGCUUGUGCAGYCAACAUCUUGCAACGUCGACAACGAAGACAGGAGGCUGCAGCCUUAGGUGCAGCACAAGUUGCUUUUGUGCUACAAUCAGGACGACACAGAGGUCUGCAAUUUGCCAUAGCAUCAGGACCUCAAGUGGCUCCGCACCAGGACAUUGUUUAACUUACAUAGGCGCAAAUCUAACCUCUUCCUUUUCUUCUUCUUCCUUUUCUUUUUUCUUUUUUGGUUUUCCUUCAAUGGUUUUAGCACCAAAAAGUUCAAUUUAGUCUCCCUUAAAAUGAGCUUCUAUGUUUGUAAUCUGUCUUAUAUUCAUUUUGCAAAGCCGAGUGUAAUUCUACAUUGUAAUUAUUUUUCAUGACUUGCAGUCUUGCAAUUUGUUGACCCGUCACCCAUGAAUAAUAAAGCAAUGAAAGUUUAAUCAAAUUUUCUAUAGUUGGAUGGGAACACUUGAAACAAAAUUAGUAGGAAUCGUUCAAAGAUCUCGGCCUCGAAUUAUUAAAUAUAAGAAUUGCAUCGAGCUAGAAGCCUCAUCCUCCAAGAGCCCUUCGGUGAAAGAACAAAGAAAAGCUUAAAGAUAGCCAAUCCGCGCAAGAACCAAGUAGAGUAAAUUUUUGUGUCGCAUAUAGAACCAAUCAAAUAGGCCAAAGUAGCAGAUAAUUGAUAAAUAUGGAAAGGAUGAUACGAAAAAUAAACCAAAUUUCAAGGGGAUUUGUUCUUACCACCUUACUUGCUUUUUACAUAACCCUCUCCCUCUAAUAAUGGGAUAAAUUGGUAUCCUCACAUCUAAAGUGGACAUUUCUCUCAUCAGUCUGCUUGUUGUUUGUUUGAGCUUUUACAAGUUACGCGUACUUUUAAUUUUUGCUCUUUAUUUCAACUGCAUUGAAUCUGUAGCAGGUGUACCGAACAGGGGUUGGUGCUUUAAGACUUAAGGAGCCACAAACCUUUUUGUCCAGUUGUUCUCCUCAGUCCUCACCCAUCAGACAGAUCCAAAAAGCCCAAUUGAUGUUCAAGCAGCAGAUCAAAUCUAGGCAUUCUUUAUACUGUUUUCAGGGAAGAUAUGUUCAAAAAAGGGAGAUCCAUGGCUGUUUGCUACAGGUUUGAUCCAAAUCAGUCAAGCAAAAGAAGGUGGUACAAGUCAUUGGGAAUAAUAAAUUUGGCGUACCAUUAACCUUUCCAUGCAGAGAAAACUGCAAGAUGAAAGGUGGCGCUCUCAGCUCUGUUCCUGAACUCUUGAGGAAGAGGAACUUUCACGCCAAGAAUUGCUGGUAUUUCUUACUCUUUCUUAUUUUUUCUUCAGAUGGAAUUUCCUGUCUCCAUGUAUUUUGUAGCUGAGCUGGAAUUACACUACAAAAAAAUGACAUUUGAAACCAAGAGAAUAUUUGGUGAGGAGUGAGGACAAAGUUGAAGUGUCUCCCUUGA